CCACCACAUAGAACACCAAGGGACAAAAACACACACGAACACAGAACAACAGAAGGCACCGGGGACAUAACAUGGAUUGAUCAAGGGUUUGGGAUAUUUGGGGGCUCUGUCUGUGCCACCUGCUGAUGGUAGCUGAUCCAAAGAUUCUUGAACCAAGAAGAGUGUGAUACAUGACCAACACAAGAUGCAGCAUUACGUACAGAACCUGUAUUUGAAGCAUCUGGCAUCUGAUUAAGUUUUUCAGUUUGCUGAUCAAUGCUUGAUACCCGAGCUAAAUCCUGAAAUGUUAAACAAAUCUAAUGAGGAAGGUUAUUUUGACUAUUUGUGUGAAUUCAUAUUUUUUAAGACCUUACUUGAGACAGAGGUUCGGCUAAGUUACAGUUUAUGAAGGAUGCAAUGGACAAAGUUAUGCAUGGGCAUGUGAGUUAUGUGACUCCUCAAGUUGAGAGGAAAGAGUUGAGGAUACCAGCACAUCCAGAAGGUUCACAGAGUAAUGUAGCUACUGACAAAUAGACACCAAUGUGAUAAGGAUAGGAGCCUACCUUGAAAAUAAAGUAGGAAUUGUAGCUCUUGAUUUCUCUUCCAUCUCUGUACCUACAGUACUUAGUGAGUCAAGAGAGCCAUGACUUUCAGCCUAACAAUUGAGGAACAUGUGUUGCAUGAUAAAAUACAUUUUUGAAUUUAGAUAAAUAUUAAUACAUAUUUAAGUGGGUUUUUAUGUUGAUAAUAAAUAUGUAUAUAAUCAAAUUAAUUGAUUAGGUAAGAGUGUAUUUCUUGAGAAAAAGCAGCUCUAAAAAAUGUAUUCAGAGCAAUAUAGUACAUCCAAGAGAGAGACAGAACAAAAAAGGUCCUGAAAGAAUUACAACAAUAACAGAUUACAUACUUUCCCCCCUUCAUAUUGAAUGAAAAUGACCUCAAUUCCAGUUUAGUAGUUAGUGCCCAACAUCCACCACGUAUCACUUGUGUGAAUUGAAGUGAGUUGUAUAAGUUCAGUUGGUCUUCUAAAUGCAUUUUGUUUAGUACCAGAAAUCCUGUCAUCUCCAUUUAUGUGUAUUUUACUCAAAGACUGAAUGCUAGCAAACUCCUGCCAUUUAAUGGAUUGGAGCCACGCUAGGUAGAAAUAAUUUUAUAUGGAAGUGAAAAAAAAAGUAUUGCUGAAAUUUCGUUAUAAAUGUACAUUUUUAAGAUCCCG
ensembl:lncRNA